UACGUAGGGGGCAAGCGUUGUCCGGAUUUAUUGGGCGUAAAGCGCUCGCAGGUGGUUCGUCGCGUCGUGCGUGAAAGACCCCGGCUCAACUAGGGGAGGUCGUGCGAUACGGGCGGACUGGAGGCCAGUAGGGGGAUGCGGAAUUCCGGGUGUAGUGGUGGAAUGCGUAGAGAUCCGGAGGAACACCAGCGGCGAAGGCGGCAUCCUGGACUGGUCCUGACACUCAUGAGCGAAAGCGUGGGGAGCGAUCCGG
rnacentral:rRNA from 1 species